rnacentral:rRNA from 1 species
UACGUAGGGGGCGAGCGUUGUCCGAAGUUACUGGGCGUAAAGCGCGCGUAGGCGGGUUGGCAAGUCUGCUGUGAAAGCCCGGGGCUUAACUCCGGAGGGUCGGUGGAUACUGCCAGUCUUGAAGGUGCUAGGGAGAGAUGGAAUUACCGGUGUAGCGGUGAAAUGCGUAGAUAUCGGUAGGAACACCAGUGGCGAAGGCGGUCUCUUGGGGCAUUAACUGACGCUGAGGAGCGAAAGCAUGGGGAGCGAACAGG